AUUCUGAACAGCAAUGCUCAUCACAUAAACAUGAAGUUUCCUCCAAAAGGAAUGAUGACUAAUGCUUUGAGGAAACAGCAGACGUCAGACAGCAAGCCCAGAAAAACCUGCCAGCACCAAGAGGGUGUCCUCAACAGGCGCCUGGGGGACAUAUUAUUCUAACUAAAGAGACCAGAGCUUCCCCAGGAAGGGAAGAGGAGAGAAAUGAAGAACGUCUGUGUUCAUGUUUGCCAAAAACAAAAGUCUGAGAAAUCUCUGAGAGACUCUACAUGGGAGGGCACUAAUCGAAGCACCUCAUUUAAAGUGAGAAAAGCUUUGCUAAGGGCAGAUGAUUCAGCACGGUAUCCUUCGAUGAGUACUGUCAUCUCAAAUCCUUUUUAAGAACAUCAAGCACAAAUGAUGAUCUCCUAGGACAGUGGCAGCUUCUGAGAAUGCACAGGAAAGUGACCAGGGAAAGAAUGAUUCCAUCUCCAGGAAUCCCUGGUGAUCUUCAGAGCCCAGACAGGACCCUGCUGGGCCAUGGUAACUGAGAAACUGAGAAGCAGAUACAGUGGUCCCUAUGUUGGCAACCUCAGCUGAAGAGGAACAACUCUCUCUAUAAUCAAGGACUUCUGAAACCAGAAAUCACCAGCGUGGGGAGAGAACAUUAAAGGCAGAGGUGUCUCUUAUAAGCACAACGUGUGACCAGGUAAUACUGUCUGGAUUAGCAGCUGUACAGCCUAACUAAGCCCUGGAGCUACAAUUAUCUGGUCGCAUUAAACUGAAAUCACCUGAAAAACUUCACACUGAACAAGCCUUUGGAAAUGUCUAAUCUGCCAGUUUACACCCAGAAGUGAAAGUGGAAUUCACUUGUUAAAGACAAGAAAACAAAAGUUUUCUGCCAGGAAGAGUCUCAUCUUAGAACCAGUAUAGGGUCUGAAGACAUUUCUGCAAUUUAUGUUUAUGCCAUUCUUUCACUUUUAUUUAAAAAGGAGAUUUAACCUGACCAUUCUCUUUGAAGCCGAUGUCCCAAGUAUAUAUGUUUGAUGAGGGUACAGAAGACAUAAGGAAUAAAACUGCAUUGCCACAGAGGGAAUACACGGCUCCAGAUACAAGGCUUUAUGCUAAUUUUAGCAAAAUGUAUGUAUCUUUUUACAUACAUAAAGUUAUGGCACUAUAUAAAGAGAUCCUUAAAUGUGACAUACACUGAAGUCCUAUUUACUGCCUGAGUAUUCCUUUUAAAAAAUAAAAACUACAAGUAGUGGUUGUAUUAAUAUUAAA
rnacentral:lncRNA from 1 species